AGAGUUUGAUCAUGGCUCAGAUUGAACGCUGGCGGCAGGCCUAACACAUGCAAGUCGAACGGUAACAGGAAGAAGCUUGCUUCUUUGCUGACGAGUGGCGGACGGGUGAGUAAUGUCUGGGAAACUGCCUGAUGGAGGGGGAUAACUACUGGAAACGGUAGCUAAUACCGCAUAACGUCGCAAGACCAAAGAGGGGGACCUUCGGGCCUCUUGCCAUCGGAUGUGCCCAGAUGGGAUUAGCUUGUUGGUGGGGUAACGGCUCACCAAGGCGACGAUCCCUAGCUGGUCUGAGAGGAUGACCAGCCACACUGGAACUGAGACACGGUCCAGACUCCUACGGGAGGCAGCAGUGGGGAAUAUUGCACAAUGGGCGCAAGCCUGAUGCAGCCAUGCCGCGUGUAUGAAGAAGGCCUUCGGGUUGUAAAGUACUUUCAGCGGGGAGGAAGGGAGUAAAGUUAAUACCUUUGCUCAUUGACGUUACCCGCAGAAGAAGCACUGGCUAACUCCGUGCCAGCAGCCGCGGUAAUACGGAGGGUGCAAGCGUUAAUCGGAAUUACUGGGCGUAAAGCGCACGCAGGCGGUUUGUUAAGUCAGAUGUGAAAUCCCCGGGCUCAACCUGGGAACUGCAUCUGAUACUGGCAAGCUUGAGUCUCGUAGAGGGGGGUAGAAUUCCAGGUGUAGCGGUGAAAUGCGUAGAGAUCUGGAGGAAUACCGGUGGCGAAGGCGGCCCCCUGGACGAAGACUGACGCUCAGGUGCGAAAGCGUGGGGAGCAACAGGAUUAGAUACCCUGGUAGUCCACGCCGUAAACGAUGUCGACUUGGAGGUUGUGCCCUUGAGGCGUGGCUUCCGGAGCUAACGCGUUAAGUCGACCGCCUGGGGAGUACGGCCGCAAGGUUAAAACUCAAAUGAAUUGACGGGGCCCGCACAAGCGGUGGAGCAUGUGGUUUAAUUCGAUGCAACGCGAAGAACCUUACCUGGUCUUGACAUCCACAGAACUUUCCAGAGAUGGAUUGGUGCCUUCGGGAACUGUGAGACAGGUGCUGCAUGGCUGUCGUCAGCUCGUGUUGUGAAAUGUUAGGGUUAAGUCCCGCAACGAGCGCAACCCUUAUCCUUGUUGCCAGCGGUCCGGCCGGGAACUCAAAGGAGACUGCCAGUGAUAAACUGGAGGAAGGUGGGGAUGACGUCAAGUCAUCAUGGCCCUUACGACCAGGGCUACACACGUGCUACAAUGGCGCAUACAAAGAGAAGCGACCUCGCGAGAGCAAAGCGGACCUCAUAAAGUGCGUCGUAGUCCGGAUUGGAGUCUGCAACUCGACUCCAUGAAGUCGGAAUCGCUAGUAAUCGUGGAUCAGAAUGCCACGGUGAAUACGUUCCCGGGCCUUGUACACACCGCCCGUCACACCAUGGGAGUGGGUUGCAAAAGAAGUAGGUAGCUUAACCUUCGGGAGGGCGCUUACCACUUUGUGAUUCAUGACUGGGGUGAAGUCGUAACAAGGUAACCGUAGGGGAACCUGCGGUUGGAUCACCU
rnacentral:rRNA from 1 species